rnacentral:lncRNA from 1 species
GCUGAGAGGCAGGGCUAACGCUCAGUUUAGCCAUGAAACAGGGGUGUGGUGCUAAAUUUAGAGCUGUUCCAGAUCCGAUCUGAGAAGCAGUUCCUUUCUCCGGCACAGAGGGGAUCCAGUUCCUUGCCUUCAACUGCCCACCCUCUAUCCUCAGAAAACCCGGAGAGAGCAGACGGCUCACACUCACCCGGAGAAGAAAACCCCAGGAGAGACCCUGACCAGGAGCUAACGUUCGUCGGGGAUCUUACCCUGCUGUGAGCUCUCUCUCCCUGGCAGGGCGCUCGCUGGGCGGCGGAGAUCGUGAGGAGAUUUCUUUCGGCACGGGAGAAGAGUCAGAUCUCGGGAUCGGGGAUGAAGGCUCUGCCCAAGAACCAAGGACGGACGGACUAUAUUCUGGGUGCCAUGGGUGACAUCCUUUCAUCCCUGGCGCUGCCCAGCCAGCAGUGGGCCCCUGAUGCCUCUGAAGAGGAGCCGCUGCUGUGUGAGACGACCCAGAGGUCAGAGCGUGUGGACUGGGGCGCUGAGCCCCCAGACCCCCAGGAAGAGACAGCACGGGGUGACGGCCUGGGGAGAGGGGAGCUGACAGGUCAAGGGAUUGAUGGGGGAUCGGCAGUUAUUUGAGCCUGAGGUGUCUGGUUAGACACUGUCGAGAAGCCCCCAGUUAUGUCCCCCUAUCCCAGGAACCCUUGGGGCAGUCCCGGUCACAGAUGGCUGAUGACAUCACCCAGAAUCGAACCUGCAACAUCUGAUCAGUGAACGCCUUGAUGGGUGUGCCUUGUGCCCUCUUGUAAAAAACCUAGAAACGACAGCAGGAGGAGAGAGUCAGAGAGUGUGUCCUCAGAUCCUGUUCUGAAGAGGACACCUGCUUUGCUCUGCACACAAGCGCGUGUUUGGGUUUCCAUAUGUGGGGACCAGCUCACCAAGAACAACAAGGAUGUGGAAAUACUGGAAGGCAGCUAUAGAGUUCAUUGCAAAGACACUUAGCAAGUUAGUGCAGGGUAAAUGCACCAUUACUGAGCCACGCCCAGUG